GGGUGACUAAGAGGGGGUCUGGUGGAGGUCUUCAAGUGGUACAGGGGACAUGACAAGGGUGACUAAGAGCGAGUCUGGUGGAGGUCUUCAAGUGGUACAGGGGACACAACAAGGGUGACUAAGAGGGGGUCUGGUGGAGGUCUUCAAGUGGUACAGGGGACAUGACGAGUAACAAAAUCUCUCUCUCUCUCUCUCUCUCUCUCUCUCUCUCUCUCACACACACACACACACACACACACACACACACACAA